GAGAAUGGAAAGAAAUCAUGUGUUGCUGCUGCUGUUAGAAGAGACGGGAAACAUUGUGGAUGUGCUGAGGGAAACAUUGCUGCUGCUGCGCUUCGAAUUGGAGAAAGGGGGA